rnacentral:tRNA from 1 species
GGAGGGGUAGCGAAGUGGCCAAACGCGGUUGACUGUAACUCAAUUCCUUAGGGUUCGGCAGUUCGAAUCUGCCCCCCUCCACCA